rfam:Pichia sorbitophila strain CBS 7064 chromosome H complete sequence.
UUGGCUUCUUCGAAGAUCCUCAUUCUUUUCUGGUAGCUUGAGGAUUCAAAGCGAAGCCUAGAUCAAUAUAGUCACCGCUAAUUUGGCUUCUACUCUUCAGUCUACGAAACAAAUAAGGGAGUAGAACUGGCUCAUGGUCAGGGAUAAUUGGCGUGAUACAUUCUCUUUCUUUGACUCUCUUUAAAAAGAAAAAAA